rnacentral:lncRNA from 1 species
AGACUGCUUUAGAAUGUUUCACUGGCUUUCCUUCCUAAGACUAUUAAUGAUAUCCUGCUAUGUUUGCAGACAGGAGCCUAGUAUAACUGUCUCCUGAGAGGCUUCAUCCAGCAGCUGAUGGAAAGAUCCAGAGAGCCACAGCCAAACACUAGACCGAGCUUGGGGAAUCUUGUGGAAGAGUUGGGGAUGGGACUGAGGAAGCCAGAGAGGACACCACAAGAAGACCUACAGAGUCAACUAACUUGAGCCCAUUGGGGCUCACAGAAACUGAACCUCCAACCAAAGAGCAUGAAGGAGCUGGACCUAGGCCCCAUACACUUUUGUAACGGAUAUGCAGCUUGGUUUUCAUGUGGGCCCCUAACAGUUGGAGCUGGCUGCCUUUGGAUUCCUUUUCCCUAACUGGAUGGCCUUGUUGGAUUUCAGUGGAAGAGGUUUCUGCUUGGUUCAGCUUUGACUUGAUCCGUCCGGGUUGGUAGGGAGAAGGUGCAGACAGUGCAUAGGCUCUGUGCAGCUGAACACAGCUGAAAUUGAAAUGGCAACCUGCUUUAGAAGGAUGAUCCUGGACUGAGAGAUCUCUAAGGGUUUAGAAGAGAUAGGUGUACACACACCUGAGAUCACGUGGUGAUAUUAUGAAAAGGGCUGGGAAAAGAUAAGCAGGAAUCAGGAAUCAAGCAACAGCAUAGAAAUAAUGAUUUCCCAACACAUCUCAUGGGAAAAAAUGGGAUGAAAUCAAAGAUACAUUCACCCCAAAUCUUGUCCUCAUAAGACCCUGUCAUGAAGAAGAAGAAGAAGAAGAAGAAGAAGAAGAAGAAGAAGAAGAAGAAGAAGAAGAAGAAGAAGAAGAAGAAGAAGAAGAAGAAGAAGAAGCAGCACUGGGUAUGUUGACUCACACUUGAAAUCCCGACACACUGGAGGCUGGGGAAUAAUUUCCAGGAACAUGAGGGCAGCCUGAGCUCCAAAGUGACUUCCAGAAGCCUGGGAUACAUUGUGAGACCUUGCCUCACAAGACAAACACACCGCUUUCCAAGCUUUCCCACCUGUCUCUUCUAAGACAGCAUCAUCUCAAGGCCCAAAGGCAAUGAAGUCCCUGAUUAGCACCAGAGAGUAGACUUGGUGAACAGUUCUUUGAUAGAUUUUGCUCUUCACCUACACUUCCAACAGUGUUAUUUAA